ensembl:lncRNA
UUUUGGCAUACAGCUCAUGAAAACACAAAAUUCCUAUCUCAAAAAAUUAGCAUAUUUCAUCCGACCAAUAAAAGAAAAGUGUUUUUAAUACAAAAAAAGUCAACCUUCAAAUAAUUAUGUUCAGUUAUGCACUCAAUACUUGGUCGGGAAUCCUUUUGCAGAAAUGACUGCUUCAAUGCGGCGUGGCAUGGAGGCAAUCAGCAAGUGGCACUGCUGAGGUGUUAUGGAGGCCCAGGAUGCUUCGAUAGCGGCCUUAAGCUCAUCCAGAGUGUUGGGUCUUGCGUCUCUCAACUUUCUCUUCACAAUAUCCCACAGAUUCUCUAUGGGGUUCAGGUCAGGAGAGUUGGCAGGCCAAUUGAGCACAGUAAUGCCAUGGUCAGUAAACCAUUUACCAGUGGUUUUGGCACUGUGAGCAGGUGCCAGGUCAUGCUGAAAAACGAAAUCGUCAUCUCCAUAAAGCUUUUCAGCAGAUGGAAGCAUGAAGUGCUCCAAAAUCUCCUGAUAGCUAGCUGCAUUGACCCUGCCCUUGAUAAAACACAGUGGACCAACACCAGCAGCUGACAUGGCACCCCAGACCAUCACUGACUGUGGGUACUUGACACUGGACUUCAGGCAUUUUGGCAUUUCCUUCUCCCCAGUCUUCCUCCAGACUCUGGCACCUUGAGUUCCGAAUGACAUGCAAAAUUUGCUUUCAUCCGAAAAAAGUACUUUGGACCACUGAGCAACAGUCCAGUGCUGCUUCUCUGUAGCCCAGUUCAGGCGCUUCUGCCGCUGUUUCUGGUUCAAAAGCACACGCCUGUGCACGGUGGCUCUGGAUGUUUCUACUCCAGACUCAGUGCACUGCUUCCGCAGGUCCCCCAAGGUCUGGAAUCGGUCCUUCUCCACAAUCUUCCUCAGGGUCCGGUCACCUCUUCUCGUUGUGCAGAGUUUUUUGCCACACUUUUUCCUUCCCACAGACUUCCCACUGAGGUGCCUUGAUACAGCACUCUGGGAACAGCCUAUUCGUUCAGAAAUUUCUUUCUGUGUCUUACCCUCUCGCUUGAGGGUGUCAAUGAUGGCCUUCUGGACAGCAGUCAGAUCGGCAGUUUUACCCAUGAUUGUGGUUUUGAGUAAUGAACCAGGCUGGGAGUUUUUAAAAGCCUCAGGAA